rnacentral:rRNA from 1 species
CGUGCCUAACACAUGCAAGUCGAGCGAGGAGAUCCUUCGGGAUGAUCCUAGCGGCGGACGGGUGAGUAACCACGUGGGCAACCUGCCUCAUAGAGAGGAAUAGCCUCCGAAAGGGAGAUUAAUACCUCAUAACAUUGCAGUUUCGCAUGGAACAGCAAUUAAAGGAGUAAUCCGCUAUGAGAUGGGCCCGCGGCGCAUUAGCUAGUUGGUGAGGUAACGGCUCACCAAGGCGACGAUGCGUAGCCGACCUGAGAGGGUGAUCGGCCACAUUGGGACUGAGACACGGCCCAGACUCCUACGGGAGGCAGCAGUGGGGAAUAUUGCACAAUGGGGGAAACCCUGAUGCAGCCAACGCCGCGUGAGUGAUGACGGCCUUCGGGCUGUAAAGCUCUGUCUUCAGGGACGAUAAUGACGGUACCUGAGGAGGAAGCCACGGCUAACUACGUGCCAGCAGCGGC